rnacentral:rRNA from 1 species
GACGAACGCUGGCGGUGUGCUUAACACAUGCAAGUCGAACGGCAAGGCCCUGCUUUUGUGGGGUGCUCGAGUGGCGAACGGGUGAGUAACACGUGAGUAACCUGCCCUUGACUUUGGGAUAACUUCAGGAAACUGGGGCUAAUACCGGAUAGGAGCUCCUGCUGCAUGGUGGGGGUUGGAUAGUUUCGGCGGUUGGGGAUGGACUCGCGGCUUAUCAGCUUGUUGGUGGGGUAGGGGCUGACCAAGGCUUUGACGGGUAGCCGGCAUGAGAGGGUGACCGGGCACAUUGGGACUAAGAUACGGACCAGACUCCUACAGGAGGCAGCAGUGGGAAAUAUGGCACAGUGGGCGGAAGCCUGAUGCAGCAACGCCGCGUGCGGGAUGACGGCCUUCGGGUUGUAAACCGCUGCAGCCUGUGACGAAGCGGGAGUGACGGUAAUCGGUAAAGAAGCACCGGCUAACUACGUG